rnacentral:rRNA from 1 species
AUUGAACGCUGGCGGCAGGCCUAACACAUGCAAGUCGAACGGUAACAGGAAGCAGCUUGCUGCUUCGCUGACGAGCGGCGGACGGGUGAGUAAUGUCUGGGAAGCUGCCUGAUGGAGGGGGAUAACUACUGGAAACGGUAGCUAAUACCGCAUAAUGUCGCAAGACCAAAGAGGGGGACCUUCGGGCCUCUUGCCAUCGGAUGUGCCCAGAUGGGAUUAGCUUGUUGGUGGGGUAACGGCUCACCAAGGCGACGAUCCCUAGCUGGUCUGAGAGGAUGACCAGCCACACUGGAACUGAGACACGGUCCAGACUCCUACGGGAGGCAGCAGUGGGGAAUAUUGCACAAUGGGCGCAAGCCUGAUGCAGCCAUGCCGCGUGUAUGAAGAAGGCCUUCGGGUUGUAAAGUACUUUCAGCGGGGAGAAGGGGAGUAAAGUUAAUACCUUUGCUCAUUGACGUUACCCGCAGAAGAAGCACCGGCUAACUCCGUG